UACGGAGGAUGCGAGCGUUAUCCGGAUUUAUUGGGUUUAAAGGGCGCGUAGGCGGUCCGUUAAGUCAGCGGUAAAAUUGCGGGGCUCAACCCCGUCGAGCCGUUGAAACUGGCAGACUUGAGUUGGCGAGAAGUACGCGGAAUGCGCGGUGUAGCGGUGAAAUGCAUAGAUAUCGCGCAGAACUCCGAUUGCGAAGGCAGCGUACCGGCGCCAGACUGACGCUGAGGCACGAAAGCGUGGGGAUCGAACAGG
rnacentral:rRNA from 1 species